rnacentral:rRNA from 1 species
UAAGCGGAGGAAAAGAAACUAACAAGGAUUCCCCCAGUAACGGCGAGUGAAGCGGGAAGAGCUCAAAUUUGAAAUCUCCGACGCUUGCGUCGGCGAAUUGUAGUUGCGAGAAGCACUUUCUCGGCGGAUCGGAGGCGCCUAAGUUGCUUGGAACAGUACGUCGCAGAGGGUGACAACCCCGUCUGUGGCGCUUCCGGCCGCUCACGAUGUGCUUUCGAAGAGUCGGGUUGUUUGGGAAUGCAGCCCAAAACGGGUGGUAAACUCCAUCUAAAGCUAAAUACUGACGUGAGACCGAUAGCGAACAAGUACCGUGAGGGAAAGAUGAAAAGAACUUUGAAAAGAGAGUUAAAAAGUACGUGAAACCGUUGAAAGGGAAACGAAUGGACUCAGCAAUGCGCCGCUUGAGAUUCAGCCGGUCGGCGGGGUCGGCCCGKGGUUUGCGGAUCUGAAUGGACCGCGAUCUCGGUGCUCGACUCCGUUAAUCGACCGUCGCACUUCUCUUGGGCGCGCGUCAACGUCGGUCGGUUCUGGGUCUGAAGGGUUCCGGGAAGGUGAGUCCGCGCCGCUGGGGGGAAGUCUCGGCUUUUUUCCACGUGGCGCGUUCCGUUAGAGCCCGGUUCUCGGAUCAACUCGGAGUCGACCGAGGCGGUCGCAGCGCAUGCCUCUUGUGGCUAGGGUCCCGUCGUUCCGGCCGGUCGUCGACCGUGGUGGACUGCUUGCAGUGCUCCGCAACCGCUGCCGGUCGUUGGGGCGGUGAUCUCGUACAAUGCGCUUAGGACGUUGGCGG